rnacentral:lncRNA from 1 species
CUUAGAGCCUGGGUGAGAGGCAAAGAGGAGGCCAGAGACCUUCUGGGUAGAGAGGACCCUCGGGCCAAGGCUCAGAGGUGGAUGAACGGGGGAGCCUUAGGUGGAACAGCACAGGGUGGAACCCGGCAGAGGACAAUGGGAGCUGAUGGAGGCUAGGCCAGAGUGGGGCCUUCAGUGAUGCUUGAACCCCAGGCUUCAGACUCCAGAAGAGCCAAGGGCAGGUGGCCCGGCUGCAGAGCCUGUGGCAGGCAGGCCUCACUCACUAUACCCUUCUGUGUCCUUUGCCUGCAGAGACCUGUCUGGGCCGCAGAGAGGAGUCUGGAGGCCCCCCGAGCCAGGCUGAGCCAGCCGCUAGGGGCACGGAGCAGUGCCCACCUUGCGCCCAGUGUGGCCAGAGCUUCGGCCAGAAGGAGCUCAGUGCGCCGCACCAGCGCGUGCAUCGUGGCCCCCGGCCUUUCGCUGGUGCUCAGUGUCCCAAGAGCUUCACGCAGCGGACCACCCCCGCCAGCCACCGUCGGGCGCACGUGGCCGAGUGCACCUACACCCGCGCCCAAUGCGGCAAGACCUUCCUCCAGCAGUCGACGCUCACACCCACUACUGCGCGCACAUCAGGGAGAAGCCCUACGAGUGCGCCAAGCUCUUUGGCCGCCUGUCCACGCUGCUGGAGCACCGGCACAUGCACACGGGUGAGCGGCCCUUCCAGUGCACGCAAUGUGGCUGCUGCUUCAGCCGCCUGUCCACGCUGCUGGAGCACCGGCACACACACAUCAGCGAGAAGCCCUUCCAGUGUGCGCAGUGCGACAAGCGUUUCACGCGUCUGGCCAACCUGACCGUGCACCAGAGAGUGCACUUGGGCGAGCGCUCCUUCCAGUGCGCCCAGUACAGCAGGAGAUUCAUGCAGAAGCCCGGCUUCCUGCGUCAUCUGUGUGGCCACUCGCAGGAGAAGCACUAUCCUUGCAGCCCUUGUGGUUCCCAUGAUCAGUGGUGAAAUAUAGUGAUUUUCACCUGUGCUUCCAUUCUGAAGUUCUGGAAAGAAGUACUGGAUGGACUGAAGUCCAGGACAACGUCCCAAAGAAAGGCAGAGUCCAGGUAGGCUUGGAGGACCAAGCCCUGGAUGAGCACUGGAGGGCAGAGGCCUCAGUGUCCAGCACUGUGCCCUGCACAUGGAAAGCCCCUACGUUUGUGGAAUGAAUGAAUAAUAAAAAUGUUUUCAUAAGUGA